UAAGGAAUAUUGGUCAAUGGAGGGAACUCUGAACCAGCCAUGCCGCGUGCAGGAUGACUGCCCUAUGGGUUGUAAACUGCUUUUGUCGGGGAAUAAACCUACGUUUGUAAACGUAGCCGAAUGUACCCGAAGAAUAAGGAUCGGCUAACUCCGUGCCAGCAGCCGCGGUAAUACGGAGGAUCCAAGCGUUAUCCGGAUUUAUUGGGUUUAAAGGGUGCGUAGGCGGUUCUUUAAGUCAGAGGUGAAAGACGGCAGCUUAACUGUCGCAGUGCCUUUGAUACUGAAGAACUUGAAUUAGGUUGAGGAAUGCGGAAUGAGACAAGUAGCGGUGAAAUGCAUAGAUAUGUCUCAGAACCCCGAUUGCGAAGGCAGCAUUCCAAGCCUUUAUUGACGCUGAUGCACGAAAGCGUGGGGAUCGAACAG
rnacentral:rRNA from 1 species